rnacentral:tmRNA from 1 species
GGGAUUUGCGAAACCCAAGGUGCAUGCCGAGGGGCGGUUGGCCUCGUAAAAAGCCGCAAAAAAUAGUCGCAAACGACGAAAACUACGCUUUAGCAGCUUAAUAACCUGCUUAGAGCCCUCUCUCCCUAGCCUCCGCUCUUAGGACGGGGAUCAAGAGAGGUCAAACCCAAAAGAGAUCGCGUGGAAGCCCUGCCUGGGGUUGAAGCGUUAAAACUUAAUCAGGCUAGUUUGUUAGUGGCGUGUCCGUCCGCAGCUGGCAAGCGAAUGUAAAGACUGACUAAGCAUGUAGUACCGAGGAUGUAGGAAUUUC